rnacentral:lncRNA from 12 species
GGGACAUUUAGGUGGCUCUGGACAUGGUUGGGGUUGGGCUGGGGACAGUUGGGUGACACCAGAUAUGGUUGGGGUUUGGGGAUGGUCAGACUGGGGACACUCAGGUGGCUCUAGAUAUGGUUGAGGUCAGACUGGGGACACUCAAGUGACACUCUGGGGUCAGACUGGGGACACUCCGGUGACACUGAGGUGACACUCAGGUGACACUCAUGUGACACUCUGGGAUGGGUUGGGGACACUCAGGUGACACUCAGGUGACACUCUGGGGUCGGUUGAGGACAUUCAGGUGACACUCUGGGGUCAGACUGGGGACACUCAGGUGACACUCAGGUGACACUCUGGGGUCGGCUGGGGACACAGGUGACACUGAGGUGACACUCUGGACAGGUAUUUCAUGAACAUCACGUGGGGCCAGAAGGAUUUCUCCUUCAACGAGGACGGGUACCUGGUGAACCCCUCGCUGGUCGUCAUCUCCCUCAACAAGGAGCGCACCUGGGAGGUGGUGGGCAGCUGGGAGCGGCAGGUGCUCCGGCUCAAGUACCCGGUGUGGUCGCGCUACGGGCGCUUCCUGCAGCCGGUGGAGGACGGGCGGCACCUGACGGUGGCCACGCUGGAGGAGCGGCCGUUCGUCAUCGUGGAGAGCACCGACCCCGCCACCGGCACCUGCAUCCGCGACUCGGUGCCCUGCCGGCGCCAGCUGAACCGCACCGCCAGGUGGGCACGCACCUGGGACACACCUGGGGCAGCUGGGGGACACCUGGGACACACCUGGGGCAGCUGGGACACACCUGGGGCAGCUGGGACACACCUGGGACAGCUGGGGAACAGCUGGGACACACCUGGGGCACACCUGGGGCAGCUGGGACAGCUGUGGGGGGCACUGCCAGGUGGGGACAUGGAGACAGGUGGGGGACGCACCUGGGACAGCUGGGAGAAGAAGCUGGGGGUGGCACUGCCAGGUGUGGACACACCUGGGGGACCCAGCUGGGACAGCUGGGGGACACACCUAGGGGUGGGACUGCCAGGUGGGGACACACCUGAGGCACACACCUGGGGGACACACCUGGGACGGGUGGGAGACAUCUGUGAUAAGUGAGGGUGGCACCACCAGGUGGGGACACGAGGACAGCUGGGGG